rnacentral:rRNA from 1 species
AGCGAACGCUGGCGGCAGGCUUAACACAUGCAAGUCGAGCGGGCACUUCGGUGUCAGCGGCAGACGGGUGAGUAACACGUGGGAACGUACCCUUUGGUUCGGAAUAACGCUGGGAAACUAGCGCUAAUACCGGAUACGCCCUUUUGGGGAAAGGCUUGCUGCCGAAGGAUCGGCCCGCGUCUGAUUAGCUAGUUGGUGGGGUAAUGGCCUACCAAGGCGACGAUCAGUAGCUGGUCUGAGAGGAUGAUCAGCCACACUGGGACUGAGACACGGCCCAGACUCCUACGGGAGGCAGCAGUGGGGAAUAUUGGACAAUGGGCGCAAGCCUGAUCCAGCCAUGCCGCGUGAGUGAUGAAGGCCUUAGGGUUGUAAAGCUCUUUUGUCCGGGACGAUAAUGACGGUACCGGAAGAAUAAGCCCCGGCGAACUUCGU